GUGUCAGCCGCCGCGGUAAGACGUGGGGGGCCAGCGUUGCUCGGAAUUACUGGGCGUAAAGGGUUCGUAGGCGGUGCGGCAAGUUGGGAGUGAAAUCUCUGGGCUUAACCCAGAGGCUGCUCUCAAAACUGCUGUGCUUGAGUGUGAGAGAGGCUCGUGGAAUUGCGGGUGUAGCGGUGAAAUGCGUAGAUAUCUGCAGGAACACCCGUGGCGAAAGCGGCGAGCUGGAUCACUACUGACGCUGAGGAACGAAAGCUAGGGGAGCAAACAGGAUUAGAUACCCUGGUAGUCCUAGCCCUAAACGAUCAGGACUUGGGGUGGCACCCGUUCGGGUGUCGUCCCGGAGCUAACGCGUUAAGGCCUGCACCUGGGGAGUACGGUCGCAAGACUGAG
rnacentral:rRNA from 1 species